rnacentral:rRNA from 1 species
AGUGAACGCUGGCGGUAGGCCUAACACAUGCAAGUCGAACGGCAGCACAGUAAGAGCUUGCUCUUACGGGUGGCGAGUGGCGGACGGGUGAGGAAUACAUCGGAAUCUACUUUUUCGUGGGGGAUAACGUAGGGAAACUUACGCUAAUACCGCAUACGACCUACGGGUGAAAGCAGGGGAUCUUCGGACCUUGCGCGAUCGAAUGAGCCGAUGUCGGAUUAGCUAGUUGGCGGGGUAAAGGCCCACCAAGGCGACGAUCCGUAGCUGGUCUGAUAGGAUGAUCAGCCACACUGGAACGGAGACACGGUCCAGACUCCUACGGUAGGCAGCAGUGGGGAAUAUUGGACAAUGGGCGCAAGCCUGAUCCAGCCAUACCGCGUGGGUGAAGAAGGCCUUCGGGUUGUAAAGCCCUUUUGUUGGGAAAGAAAAGCAGCAGGUUAAUACCCCGCUGUUCUGACGGUACCCAAAGAAUAAGCACCGGCUAACUUCGUG